AAUCCGCCGCCUAGAAUUGACUGGUUUGGACUAAAUGUUGCAAGCGGGGAACCUUGAGCUACCUACGCCAGCGUUCUGGAUUAUUUUCCAAAUUUGGUUCCUGAUAAUCUGAGAAAGCUAUGCGCUCAGUAAGAGCAGGGACCUUGUUUUAUCAAACUUUGAUCUUUCAUUAAGCACACAGUGGGCAUUCAACAAACUUGUGUAAACUUGGAAUCAGAUUUAGCCCAGGCCGGUGCGGUGGCUCCUUCCUGUAAUCCCAGCACUUUGGGAAGCCUAGGAGGGCGGAUCGCUUGAACUCAGGUGUUCGAGACCAGCCUGAGCAACAUAGCGAGGCUCCGUCUCUACAAAAAAUACAAACACUAGCCGGCCCUGUGGUGCAGACCUGUAGUCCCAGCUACUGAAGAGGCUGAGGUGGGAGGAUCCCCUGAGCCCAGGCGGUCGAGGCUGCAGUGAGCUGAGAUCGGGCCUCUCCAUUCCAGCCCGGGCGACAAACUAAGUAAAAAUUGGCAAGAUCCUGUGACAAGAUCCUGUGACAAGAUCCUGUGAUCAAGACAAAGUUUUGCCCCCAAAGGACUUGAGGCUAUCUGGGAAUUCCAUGUUUGACAGAAGCGCUGACAGCAUAACCAAGCAAACAAGAAGGUAUUCAGGGACGCUGAAACGGAUCUUCAAAGAAGACUCAGUGGGUGAUUUUUAAUUUCUGUGUAGUAUUAUAGAGCUUAAUGCAGAACAUACCAAAACCUUGGAGAGGUAAUGAUAGGGUCAUGCAUUUCAUAAGGCAGAGUAAUGCCCUGCAACAACAAAAUAAAGUCAAAGAGUUCUACACUGAGCCAUGAACCACUAAAUGGGGAAUACCAACAAAAUAACACCACCUGGGUGAAAUCUGCUUCCUGCGUAGAUAGGUUCUUUCAACCACCAACCCUAGGCUUUCCAGCUGUCAAGCACUUAAUCAUGAAAUAUAAUAAUAAAGAUGUUUCAGGAGUUCCUUAUGAUACUUAUUCAAAAGUUCAUAUUGUUCUAAACUCUCUAAUAAUAAUCAGUUCUCCAGGUUAAACAUCUUUCAAUGGAAGCACAUUAUUUACAAACUCAGUCCAAACCCUUAGAAGGACAUAGGAGUUCCACUAUGAUGUCAAUGCUGCCUGGUUUGCCACCUCACCUGCCACCUCUCUACCACCAGACGUGGGGCACUCUACAUCAGCUCCUACUUUUAUGGUUCCAAGUCCAGCCAUGGUCUUCCUGACUCGGGACAUUCACACAUACUAAUUCUUCUGCUUAGAAUGCCCAUCUGUCCCCAUUCCCUCUUUAUUGCUCAGCAAAGCCCAGUUUCCAUCACACAUUCUGCGACACCUUCCUUGACUCUGCAGAAUAAGUGUCCCUCCUGUGUGCCUUAAAGCACAGUAUUUGUUUCUGCUACAACACACAUUAAUAAUAUUCUAAUUGUCUAUGUUUUCUUCUACCCCUCUCCACUUCCCCAGUUAGAUGUAAAUUCCUUAAAGGCAGGGACACUCUAGUUUAUUUUAUAUCUCUUGCAUCCAGUGUAGUGGCUGGUACAAAACUAGAAUAAAUAAAAUAAAUGUUAUUGAAUUAUUGUUGAAUAAAGUUAUAACAUGAAAAAUAAAUAUAUUUGUAAGAAGUUCAUUACUUUGGAGACCAAUAUCAGUAAUAUUCUGGAGAAGGACACCAUCUGCAAGGAAUGAGAGAGUGCAAGAGAGUGCGUAAUAUGGCAGUGAGAGCUAUAAGUAGAAAUUUCUAGAUUUAAAGGUAUCUUUUGUAUAUACCCCCCAAAAAUGAAAACUUAUGUCCACAUACAGACUUGUACAUGAAUGUUCAUAACAGCAU
rnacentral:lncRNA from 10 species